rnacentral:rRNA from 1 species
AUUGAACGCUGGCGGCAUGCCAACACAUGCAAGUCGAACGAGUGGCGGACGGGUGAGUAAUGUAUCGGAACCUGCCCGAUGGCGGGGGAUAACUACUGGAAACGGUGCUAUACCGCAUACUAUUGGAGAGGCCGAUAUCGGAUUAGCUAGUUGGGGGGGUAACGGCCCACCACGGCAACGAUCCGUAGCUGGUCUGAGAGGACGACCAGCAACACUGGAACUGAGACACGGCCCAGACUCCUACGGGAGGCAGCAGUGGGGAAUCUUGGACAAUGGGCGAAAGCCUGAUCCAGCCAUCCCGCGUGUGUGAUGAAGGCUUCGGGUUGUAAAGCACUUUUGGCAGGGAAGCGGUACCUGCAGAGUAAGCACCGGCUAACUACGUGCCAGCCGCCGCGGUAAUAC